GUCCCCUUCGUCUAGUGGCCCAGGACACUGGGUUUUCAUCCCAGCAACAGGGGUUCGACUCCCCUAGGGGACGCCA
rnacentral:tRNA from 1 species